CAGCCGCCGCGGUAAUACCGGCGGCCCGAGUGGUGGCCGCUAUUAUUGGGCCUAAAGCGUCCGUAGCCGGGCCCGUAAGUCCCUGGCGAAAUCCCACGGCUCAACCGUGGGGCUUGCUGGGGAUACUGCGGGCCUUGGGACCGGGAGAGGCGGGGGGGACCCCUGGGGGAGGGGGGGAAUCCUAUAAUCCCCGGGGGGCCGCCAGUGGGGAAGGCGCCCCGCUGGAACGGGGCCGACGGUGAGGGACGAAGGCCAGGGGAGCAAACCGGAUUAGAACCCCGGGUAGUCCUGGCGGUAAAGGAUGCGGGCUAGGUGUCGGGUGAGCUUCGAGCUCGCCCGGUGCCGGAGGGAAGCCGUUAAGCCCGCCGCCUGGGGAGUACGGCCGCAAGGCUGAAACUUAAAGGAAUUGGCGGG
rnacentral:rRNA from 1 species